ACAAACACAUUCACCAAAUGUGUGUGUGAAUUGUUUUACGCGCAUUUGUAACGUGCUUCCAAUUACAAAUUCCCACUUACGAAUACAAAUUCCCACUUACGAAUGUGUGGAUCGUUUUGAUACCCGUCAUGCGCAACUGAGAAGAACACAUGCAUUUUUUUAACUGGAGCCCGUCUUCAGCCAAUCAGACGUCUUCUUCUUAAACAGCCAAUCACAAGGGCUGGGCUGUUUCGUUACGUCACUGCUGUGCGCCUUCAAGUCCGGCUGGAGAUUCCUUUUAGACUACAACGCAGUUCAUGCGGUUGUCGUGCGGUUGGUGUACAACAUGGAGAAGAGGUUCCAGGAGAUUUUCAAUUUUAUGUCUAGGGGUGAAUUCCCUAAUUUAUAGUGAAUCUCAGAAAUGUGCUUUAAGAAGAUAUAUGCAGAAGCUCAAACUGAAGGUCCCAAACAGAAGCACGAUCACUGUUUAAUGAAGUACACUCGGCUUCAAUUGGUGCACACACAGGCACUGUUAAAACCAGAUCCUCAAUGUACUCCAGAAAUUAUUGGGAUGGCAUGACGGUGGACAUUGACUGGUGGGUCUCUGAAUGCGACGGAUGUCAGAGGACUGGUAACUCUUUGGCUGUGUGUGACACAGCCAUUACAAAGCAUUAAGGUGUCUGCUGUUUGGGAGUUGGUUGGGAUAGACCUGACUGGGCCUCUCCCAAAAACCAAGGAUGGCUUUCAGUACAUUCUUACUGCCACCGAUUAUUUUUCCAAACACAGAUGCCCCCAAAGAAUCCUGUCCGACCAAGGAAGAGAAUUUGUCAAUUAGCUCAACGAUAACCUUUGUGCCUCCUGUGCAUUGAAAGGAGUGUUACAGCUGCAUAUCAUCCUAAGACGAAUGGGCUGGAUGAGAGGACAAAUAGCAAACAUAAAACGGCAAGU